rnacentral:rRNA from 1 species
CAGCAGCCGCGGUAAAACGAAGGGUGCAAGCGUUACUCGGAAUUACUGGGCGUAAAGCGUGCGUAGGUGGUGGUUUAAGUCCGUUGUGAAAGCCCCGGGCUCAACCUGGGGAUUGCAGUGGAUACUGGGUCACUAGAGUGUGGUAGAGGAUAGUGGAAUUUCCGGUGUAGCAGUAAAAUGCGUAGAGAUCGGAAGGAACAUCUGUGGCGAAGGCGACUAUCUGGGCCAACACUGACACUGAGGCACGAAAGCGUGGGGAGCAAACAGGAUUAGAUACCCCAGUAGUCCCUGUCUCUUAUAC